GGAGGUGGCUCAGAGGGAGAGCAUCUGCUUUGCGUGCAGAAGGUCCCAGGUUCAGUUCCUGGCAUCUCCA